rnacentral:rRNA from 1 species
GACGAACGCUGGCGGCGUGCCUAAUACAUGCAAGUAGAACGCUGAAGGAGGAGCUUGCUUCUCCGGAUGAGUUGCGAACGGGUGAGUAACGCGUAGGUAACCUGCCUGGUAGCGGGGGAUAACUAUUGGAAACGAUAGCUAAUACCGCAUAAGAGUAGAUGUCGCAUGACAUUUGCUUAAAAGUUGCAACUGCACCACUACCAGAUGGACCUGCGUUGUAUUGGCUAGUUGGUGAGGUAACGGCUCACCAAGGCAACGAUACAUAGCCGACCUGAGAGGGGGAGCGGCCAGACUGGGAGGGAGACACGGCCCAGACGCCUACGGGAGGCAGCAGGAGGGAAUCGUGGGCAAUGGGCGGAAGUCUGACCGAGCAACGCCGCGGGAGGGAAGAAGGUUGUCGGAUCGGAGAGGUCGGUUGUAAGAGAAGAACGAGUGUGAGAGUGGAAAGUUCACAGUGUGACGGUAACUGACCAGAAAGGGACGGCUAACUACGUG